rnacentral:rRNA from 1 species
UACAGAGGUCCCAAGCGUUGUUCGGAUUCACUGGGCGUAAAGGGUGCGUAGGCGGUCGGGUAAGUCUGACGUGAAAUCUUCAAGCUCAACUUGGAAACUGCGUCCGAUACUAUUCGGCUAGAGGAAUGGAGGGGAGACUGGAAUACCUGGUGUAGCAGUGAAAUGCGUAGAUAUCAAGUGGAACACCAGUGGCGAAGGCGAGUCUCUGGACAUUUCCUGACGCUGAGGCACGAAAGCCAGGGGAGCAAACGGG